rnacentral:rRNA from 1 species
UACAGAGGUCUCAAGCGUUGUUCGGAUUCAUUGGGCGUAAAGGGUGCGUAGGCGGCGCGGUAAGUCGGGUGUGAAAUCUCGGAGCUUAACUCCGAAACUGCAUUCGAUACUGCCGUGCUUGAGGACUGGAGAGGAGACUGGAAUUUACGGUGUAGCGGUGAAAUGCGUAGAUAUCGUAAGGAAGACCAGUGGCGAAGGCGGGAUCCUGGGCCAGUACUGACGCUGAGGAGCGAAAGCGUGGGGAGCAAACAGG